CCUCCGCUACUCCGGGGAAGCUUUUCGGCUCGGAGGAACAGGGAAGCCGGUCCAAGUCCGGCGCGGUCCCGCCACUGUAGCCGGGGUGAAGCACCCUCGAAGUCGUCGCCACUGCCGCGGAUGCCGCGGCGGGAAGGUGGAGGGUGCCUGGCGGAGCGACGCUGCUCCGCGGCCCCGGAAGCCAGGAGACCUCCCUCCGGGUCCGCCGCGAAU
rnacentral:ncRNA from 1 species